rnacentral:rRNA from 1 species
GAUGAACGCUGGCGGCGUGCCUAAUACAUGCAAGUCGAGCGAACGGACGAGAAGCUUGCUUUUCUGAUGUUAGCGGCGGACGGGUGAGUAACACGUGGAUAACCUACCUAUAAGACUGGGAUAACUUCGGGAAACCGGAGCUAAUACCGGAUAAUAUUUUGAACCGCAUGGUUCAAAAGUGAAAGACGGUCUUGCUGUCACUUAUAGAUGGAUCCGCGCUGCAUUAGCUAGUUGGUAAGGUAACGGCUUACCAAGGCAACGAUGCAUAGCCGACCUGAGAGGGUGAUCGGCCACACUGGAACUGAGACACGGUCCAGACUCCUACGGGAGGCAGCAGUAGGGAAUCUUCCGCAAUGGGCGAAAGCCUGACGGAGCAACGCCGCGUGAGUGAUGAAGGUCUUCGGAUCGUAAAACUCUGUUAUUAGGGAAGAACAUAUGUGUAAGUAACUGUGCACAGCUUGACGGUACCUAAUCAGAAAGCAACGACUAACUACGUG